CUCAUUGGGUCACCUGGCUGGAUGUCAGACAGGGGGCCAAGGCUUGGCUUUGAGUUGAAGUGCCACUUGCUCCCCAGGGAAUAGUAGGAACAGGAAAUGUGUUCUUUUGGACCUCUGCACUUUGCCUUUAAGGGACUAGACUCAUUGGGUCUUCCAUUACCAAUGCCAGCAAGGUUUAGCAGAGGACACGCGGAGCAUUGCAGCCAACAGACUGGGCUUCCAAUGUUGGCUCCCACACUUCGGUGGCAUGGACCCCAGAGAACCGUCCAAACCAUAUUUUUGUUGGGUAGCAACACCAUCAUUCUCCUCUUUAGAAAGCAUGAUCUCGAACAUAAUAUUAAGCUUUCUACCUGUCUAACUAGCGCUACACUCAGAGGGGCCCUGCAGAGCCUCGUGACUAAAAUCAUGUAUGUGCAGUGUGGAAAUCAGGUUGCCAGAAACUUGAUAAUUAUGAGAUUGAAAGAUAAAGAUCAAGCUUCCCUACCACCAUGCAUUACAUUUCCCAGUUCCUAUGUUGAUCUUUAGUUAACCAACACUUGCUUUUCUGUCUCAGACAUUUUAAAGUCAAUUAACUUCGUUCCUGUUCACACCCUUAUUAAAAAUACAAUUAAAGCCGUAUUCUCCAGAGACUGUCAUUGGGUAGAAUUUACAAGGUGAAUUGGCCCAGAACGAACUCGGUUGUAUAAAACCCUCUCCGUCCCAGUAAAUGGGCCGGGUUGCAGAGGCUUCCAGCAUCAGACUGGGCUUAGGGGAGUCAUGAAUUUUGGUUUGGAAAGGGCCAAUUACCAGUCUCCCCCAAUACAGAAGAACCUGGGAUAUGGAAAAUAACUCCAGAAUCAAUCUGAGAAUAAUUAUCCAGGGUCCAGUUAAGUUGAAGCCUCCAAUCUUUCUCAGAAAGUUGUAUCACUACCAAGAAGCAGCCAAGUUUUUGUACCGACUUGGGAGGGAGGGGAUGAGGUAACACUGUGCUUUUCUGGAGUCCUAAGAUGACAGGAUUAGAAGAUGAGAAACUGUUAAGGGAGGUUGCAGGGAGGAGAUGGACGAAGGUCUACUGUGAGCCCUGCAUUGGGCAGUAGCAAUGUCUGUUCACUCCACUAUUCUUUAUGGAGGGUCUGCUCCAUGCCAGGGAGCCUUAUAGGAGCCGGAAAUGGAGCGAUGAAGCUAUUGCUGUUGUGGAGUCUGUAUGCCAAUGAGAGCAAGCAUCCUCAUUGAGAAACAAACAAAUCAAACUGAAUGAGUUCGCGCUAUAAAAUGAUGAAGUGAAGGGAAGGGAAUAGAGUCUAAGAAAGGCUGCUUUAAACAGGCUUGCAGGAGUUGCUCUCUCUGAGGAGGUGGCGCUGGAGCCGGCACAAGAUUGUAAAGAGAAGCCACAUGGAGAUCAGGAAGAGAGAAGGCCAGACAGAGGGGACAGCAGGAGCAAAAGUCCUGAGCUUGGAAAAGGUUCGAUAUGUUUGGAAAACAGAUAGAACAGUGCAGCUGGGCCUCAGGGAGAAAGGGUCAAAAGUCAAGCAGGAUAGCAGCCCGCGGGUGGUGGGAUGGAGUUAGGAUUUUAAGUGUUUUAAGGAAAUUAAUUUUAAGUAGGGGAGUUAUGUGUUUUACAUUGCAUUUUAGAGAUGGCUUGGGGCUCUAGAAGGGAUGGUAGACUAGAGGCAGAGGGAGAACUGGGAGGCUGAGCAGGACAGACUGCAUGAGGAUGGAGCCACGAGGGCGGUAGCAUGGGGUAGAGUGUUGGAAUCCGGAGCAAAUGUGAAGGUAGGGCCAUCUUGGCGUUCAGACGGAGAGGGCCAGGGAAAGUGACAGCAGGCCUAGGCCUGUCUCAGACAAGUCUCCUGCCCCUUCCUGACUGCGGCCAAACUUGACUGGUUGUGAACCAAAACAGAACCACCUCAGGUGUUGUUUGGAAACAUGAGGGACUUUGACCUUAACUUGUUUAAACAAAAAGUCCAAAUUCCUUCCAAGACAACAUAACUGCUGCCUGCUUUUAACCUCCUAACCAUCAAAAUGUUAUCCUGUCUCAUAAGACCAUUCCUCUGGGUUUCGCUGUGUGUGUGUUUAUUACUGUGCUUUUUAUAGGUGCUGAAAAUGUCACGUUCCCACUGCUAGUUGCUCUCUUCUCUGAGUAUUUCAACACCUGGGCUGUAUUUACUGAGUCCUCCAUGGGCCAGAUGUUCGCACCUGGUGUCAGUUUCUCCAGAUCAGUGCAUCAUAGUAGCAGGCUCUCAAUGAGCACUCACUGUAUUCCAGGCAUUGUUUGAGAACUUCACAUUUUCACCUAUUCAAUCCUCCCAGCCACCCUUUGAGUGAGUACUCAUUAUUAUUACUAUUUCAAAAGUGAAGAAACUGAGGUAGAUAAGAGGUUCUGUCGUUUGCUCAAGACCCCACAGCGGGCAAGGGGCAAAGCCAGGCUUUGACCUGUGGGGGACUGCAGCGUCCAGGCUCUGAGCCGCCAAGCUGCACCCCUUCUCCCCUGCCGCCUCUACACUCUCCUAUGGAACCAAAGCUGCUAUCUCCCUCGGUCACUGAAACAGCUCUCUUCAGAUUUAGGUUUGUUUCUUCUGAAAACAAAACAAAAACAACCCAAGGCCCCACUGGGAGGCCGUUCUCCUGGGCAGGGCCUCCAGAAGUGGGCUGGAGGGGAAAUGGCAGACCUUAGAGGCCCGGGCAUGCGGCCCCUUUGCAGGAGGGCCCCACAUCUAAGCCACCGGCCCCUGCCCAGGGGGCAGGAUGAACCCCACCUGGGGAGCUGGCUGCACAAGGUUGCCCACAGCAGAGGGCUCUGGGUGAAAUGCCCCCUCUUCUCCUCACCCCUCUUCUGCCCAUGACUAAAGGGCCUGUGUGGUGCCCACCUACCUACCUGACCCUCCUCAGAGGGCUGACGAAAUCCAAGUUAGUCAAUAGCUGUGCAGCAAAUUCUAGCUGCUUGCCAGGGUCAUUUGAGGCUGGCCCUUAGAAACCAACAGAAAGAGUCAUUAAUUCAUUUGUUAGCACAUUUCUGCUUUAAAAAUAUUGAAGAUUCUCUCCAGAGGUUUAUGAUGAGCAGUGAAAAAAGCCUGGAGAACACAACAGCUCAGGCUGUCUCUCUACCUUUCACUGCAUA